UACUAGUUGUAUAGACACCUUUAAAUAGGUGGGAGACUUUUAUGUGUGAAAUAUUAAUAAAGCAUCAAUAUCGUAAACAUUAAUGUUAGUGUGUAUAAUAAUACAAGUGCAUCUGUAUGAAUGAUGGUGACAUGUGUAGAACAGCAGCUCCUGACUGGUUCAGUGUGUUUGCAUAUGUGUGCUGCCUCUCUGCUUCCAGCAGUUAAAGCUCAGUGUUGAUCAGUGGCUGUCCAGACCUUUCAGAGACUCGGACUCGCCCGCAGCACAAUGAUGAUGUCACUGACUCUGCUGCUCUUCACCCUGGAGCUCCUCGUUCAGGCUUCAUCAGAAGAACUGCUGACUCAGACUACUGGAGCUCAGUCUGUUGUUCAAGGACAGACUGUCUCCAUCAGAUGUAAAUCCAGUAGAAGCCCUGGCUACAACUUCAACUGGUAUCUUCAGAAACAAGGAGAAGUCCCUAAACUUCUUGUUUGUUGUACAAGCACUCGUCAGUCUGGAGUUUCUGAUCGUUUCAGUGGAUCAAACUCUGGAUUAGAUUACACUCUGACCAUCAGUGGAGUUCAGCCUGAAGAUUCAGGAGUUUAUUACUGUCAGACUGGAUACUACAUCAACAGUCAAGCUGUGUUCACACAGUGAAAAACCGUCGUACAAAAACCUCCAUCAGAAACUGAACUGAGAAUGAAACAGUUCAAUGAACACCCCCACCCCACACCCCCAUACACACACUCACACACAUCUACAAUUUAUUCAGUUGAUUUUACACUUCAUAGAAGUUGGUAUCAUUGAUCUAUUUUAAUGUAUUUAAUUUAUCUAUCAAACUUAGUUUUAUUUCUGACUCCAGAUCACACUGACUCUGCUUUCUUUUUAUUUCUCGGGUUGAGAACAUUUAUUUAAACAUCUGAAUUGUUCCUGCUUUAAUUUGACUGAUUCUCUCUCAAGUUUGGAUUGUUCUAUCUAUAUGUUCAUUUAAUCUGAACAUAAACUAGCUCUUAAAACAUUUUUUUAUCUCUUGUAAUGUGUUAGAAAGCUGCCCUUAUCUUUACAUUUCUAUUCUAUUCUAUUCUAUUUUCUUGUAGUUAACUUAGUUUGUAUUCAUAUCCAUGGAGACACUGUUUGAAUUAUUUCUUGGCUUAACAGACAAUUUAUUCUUCAAUAUAACUCCUGUUUUCAAUUACAAAAUCCAUUGAGAUUCAUUUUUCCCGUUUCCUAUAUGGAUUACAUUCAUAGUUGCAAUAUUUUGGAUUUAUAAAAUGAUAGAUUACAUCAAACCAACAUAAAUAUAUUUCCUUUUUUUAAAUAAGUAACACUAGGGCCAUCUUUGGUAUUAAAAUCAAAACCAACCUGUAUAAAAAAAAAACAAAAAAAAC